GCACCGCAACGGGAGGAUGCGUGAGGUUUAAUUGGAGUCAACGCCGGGAACCUUACCGGGAGCGACAGCAGAGUGAAGGCCAGGCUGAAGGUCUUGCCAGACGAGCUGAGAGGAGGUGCAUGGCCGUCGCCAGUUCGUGCCGUGAGGUGUCCUCUUAAGUGAGGUAACGAACGAGACCCGCGCCCCAUGUUGCCAGCAAAUCCUAAAGGGAUGUUGGGCACUCUUGGGGGACCGCAGCCGACAAGGCUGAGGAAGGUGCGGGCAACGGCAGGUCAGUAUGCCCCGAAUCUCCCGGGCCACACGCGGGCUGCAAUGGUAGUGACAGAGGGCUGCCACCUCGAGAGGGGAAGCCAAUCCCUAAACACUACCUCAGUUGGGAUCGAGGGCUGCAACCCGUCCUCGUGAAUAUGGAAUGCCUAGUAAUCGCGCGUCAUCAUCGCGCGGUGAAUACGUCCCCGCUCCUUGCACACACCGCCCGUCGUUCCAUCCGAGUGGGGUUUGGGUGAGGCGUAGUCCUUGGUGGCUGCGUCGAACUCAGGUUCCGCAAGGAGGGAA
rnacentral:rRNA from 1 species